rnacentral:lncRNA from 1 species
GAGUCGUAAGCAAGGAGUGCAAGACCAUUGUGUUGGAGUAUAUGGACAAACAAUAAUGAACUUGCUUUUUAGCUGAAGUGAGGAUCAUUUGUAAUUUGUUAUUGAAUAUCUUGUUGAAAACUCUUAGAACAUCCAAUGUUCUCCAAUGAGAGUGAAUUACAAUCUGAGAGUGAAUUACCGGAAAAGGAGAACAAUUGCGGUGGGAGCGG